UCAACAUAUUGCCCAUCCUAUAAAACAUAAACACAAAAUCAUAUAGAUUUUUGUCUAACAACCUUUUUCUUCAUUAUCAACAUAUCCCUCUUCUCUCUCUUUAAGCCUCCUUGUUGCUAGGGUUGGGUGUGAACCAUAUGAGGCGCGAGAUUUUUGGUGCUAGCUUCCAAGUGACUAUAAGAAGGAUUUUGUUUGAUUAUCUACUAGUAUAAUCAAGAGGAAGGGAAUAUGAAAGUAGAACUUAUAGUUGUGCGGAUGUGAACCAUCAUAUGGCUGAACAACUUGCAAAGUUAUGUUUUUGCACCUCCCUUUUGUUUAUAAUAAUAAUGUAUUCAUGCUUUUAAAUGGUUAUAUCGUGAUAUGCAUAUUUCUAAUCAUCAUGGUGGAAUAAUGAGAUUUAUACAACUUUCUUACUUAGGAGCCUCUCAAUCAUCUCCCUCCAGAAUGCUCCAAGCUAAAGCUACUACAGAAGAAUCCAUCAUAUGUGAAUUGCCUGAGGUGUGAUUUUAGCAUAAGUAUAUUAAGUGCAUUCCUAAAGAAUAAGCCAAGUAAUUAAUUAAUGAUUGUAUAUCUUCAGACCAAAAUAUUGAAACCUGCAGUGAUGCUUUAAUCCAUGGAUACACUUUGUAUAUA